rnacentral:rRNA from 1 species
ACUCAAAUGAAUUGACGGGGGCCCGCACAAGCAGCGGAGCGUGUGGUUUAAUUCGAUGAUACGCGAAGAACCUCACCCAGGUUUGACAUGCACGUUUACCGAUCCGAAAGGUGAGGGACCCUUCGGGGCGCGUGCACAGGUGUUGCAUGGCCGUCGUCAGCUCGUGCCGUGAGGUGUUGGGUUAAGUCCCGCAACGAGCGCAACCCCUGUCGCCAGUUGUAUUUUUCUGGCGAGACUGCCGAGAAAACCUCGGAGGAAGGAGGGGACGAUGUCAGGUCAGCAUGGCCCUUACGCCUGGGGCUACACACACGCUACAAUGGGCAGUACAGAGGGCCGCUAAGCCGCGAGGUGGAGCUAAUCCCAUCAAAACUGUCCUCAGUUCGGAUUGCAGGCUGAAACCCGCCUGCAUGAAGCCGGAGUUGCUAGUAACCGCAGGUCAGCACUACUGCGGUGAAUACGUUCCCGGGCCUUGUACACACCGCCCGU